rnacentral:rRNA from 1 species
UACGUAGGGUGCAAGCGUUGUCCGGAAUUAUUGGGCGUAAAGAGCUCGUAGGCGGUUUGUCACGUCGGAUGUGAAACCCUGAGGCUCAACCUCAGGCCUGCAUUCGAUACGGGCAGACUAGAAUUCGGCAGGGGAGACUGGAAUUCCUGGUGUAGCGGUGAAAUGCGCAGAUAUCAGGAGGGAACACCCGGUGGGCGAAAGGC